ensembl:lncRNA
GGCGCAUUAGGCCGACGGUUCAAUAUGCCGAAUAGGCCUACAUAUAAAGAGUUUUAUACCUCGCUCGCGCUCUCUCUCGCUCUCACUCGGCAGGCCCCAGAGCUCAUACCAGGGGUCCAUGCUACAGCUCAGUAAUAAAGUCUAGGCUAGUCUUCACGGAAGCCUUGUUUUGCUUCACAUUGUAGAAACCAUGUUGACAUGAAAGCACGUUGUGGCUGCAAAUCGUUUGGCUAUGCAACGCUUCGAUUAUGCCAUGGAGCGACAGGGAAAUGGCACUCGCUCGUCUUCCAUAAGGAGUAACCGACAGGGCCGCCAAGUCUUCAGAAAACCUUGGAAGGCGCAGAGCAGCAAUCACGGCGAUGCGUGUCUUGCACGUAGUCGCGUCGAAAACGUAAGUUGAAUAUGUCUUAAAGCCUGGCUGUAGAUUAUAUAAAUUAUAUAAAUGUUGGGUUCAUAUUGAGCCUUUUUUUAUGUACUUUUUAUAGUUCAUGUGUCUUACACCGGUCGUAUUUCUAUGCCGUUUUAUGUCCGUGAAUAGUGCAAGCUAACAGCUGACCCAUGAAUGUCCGGUGAAAGCAACUUUUCCCUCUCAAUUUCCCCUCGUCUUGCACCCUUGGCAAGCGGAGCGAGGUAUGUUGGUUUAUUGUAAGCCUUUAGUGUGAUUAUGUUUAAUUUUGGUGUCUUUAUGUAAGUGAAGCAAAUAAUGCACACGUUUAAGUUUUCUUUGUUGUGCUGAAAUAUGUUUUCUAUAAUAUGUCAUUCUUAAAUUUCCUGUAUUGGAAUAAUAUUUGAAUUCAAGUGAAUAUUGUAAAGGUCUUUCAGAUGUUUAUGCAGUUUGCACACAAAUUAAUGUUCUUAAGACUAGUGUCACUUUCUUUUAUUUGUGAACAUGGAAAUUGUACUGCACUGAUGUUAAUAUAUUUGUGUAAAAGUGUAACCAUUUUGUGUUACUUGUUCUAGUUUCACGUUGCUGUAUCAACAAAAGAAUUCUCCAAUAAAAGGUUGCACCCGUCAGAGACUCUCCGGUUCUUUCGAUGUCAAGGGCUGCUACAGAAUACAUUUGUAUAGGCUAGUAGCUCCAGGAGUCCGCAAACGUCUGCAAUCAAUCUGGACUUCAGGAAGUGAGUGUCAAGUGAAGUUUGUGGCAAACUUUAAAUAUUUAAACUUGAGCGAAUGACGAAUUUGAAUCGUUCGUGUGAGUGGAUUCACGCAAAUCUGCGCUCUGCUGGCGUAAAUAUGCAUCUAUUCGU